rnacentral:rRNA from 1 species
GACGAACGCUGGCGGCGUGCCUAAUACAUGCAAGUCGAACGAGAGCGCCCGGUGCUUGCACUGGUCAAUCUAGUGGCGAACGGGUGAGUAACACGUGGGUAACCUGCCCAUCAGAGGGGGAUAACAUUCGGAAACGGAUGCUAAAACCGCAUAGGUCUUCGAACCGCAUGGUUUGAAGAGGAAAAGAGGCGCAAGCUUCUGCUGAUGGAUGGACCCGCGGUGCAUUAGCUAGUUGGUGAGGUAACGGCUCACCAAGGCCGUGAUGCAUAGCCGACCUGAGAGGGUGAUCGGCCACAUUGGGACUGAGACGCGGCCCAAACUCCUACGGGAGGCAGCAGUAGGGAAUCUUCCGCAAUGGACGCAAGUCUGACGGAGCAACGCCGCGUGAGUGAAGAAGGUUUUCGGAUCGUAAAACUCUGUUGUUAGAGAAGAAUAAGUGCUAGAGUAACUGUUAGCGCCUUGACGGUAGCUAACCAGAAAGCCACGGCUAACUACGUG